ensembl:lncRNA
CAGGGGUUGCGGUUCCCGGGCUCUAAAGCGCAGGACCGAUUGCUGUGGCCCAUGGAGCUCAAUUGCUCCGAGGCAUGUGGGAUUUUCCCAGAUUCAGGAUCGAACCUACGUCGUCUGCUUCGGCAGGUGGAUUUUUAACCACUGAGCCGCCAGGGAAGCCCCGUACAACUAUUUCUUUAGGAUACUUUCCAAGAAAUGAAAUUUCAUGAUUUAAAAGUUAUUUUAAGACCAGGGUCCCAUGGAAACUCAGCACAAAAAGGGUGACAGAGAAAAUCGACUGCCAAGUUCAUCCCUCAAGGUUUCAGUUCCAUGAUCUGCGGGCCCCACCUCACUUCUCUAACUUCUGCUGCAGCAACCACCCUGUCUAUCCAUCUCCAGCUGCCACCAAAGACCCAGCUCCACAAGAUAUGACGUCCUCAAAAGGAAUGCAGAGUGAUCUCACGUUAAAACCGUGAACUACCUCAAGCUAGUAGUUUGUGCAGUGUCUAACAGAUAUCAAAUAUCACUAUGUUUCCUUCAAAAUCUAAAAAAACUCAGUUUCCCCAUGAGUUUGCUUCAAUACCCAGAGUUGGGACUACAAGACCAAUGUUUGAAGAAUGCCUAAUAUAUUACAGGUGCUUUAAAAAAAGG